UUCUUCUUUGCCAAGGAGAACAAUCUAUUGACUCAAAAGAAAAAGAAACUUUGGUAAGAGAAAAUUGAAGCUCUAGAUGAGUAAAAAGAUUCUAACAGUACCAAGCUGCCGUAAAUGAGCUCAAGUCUCUUGGCCAGGACAAAUUACACUCCAGGGAGUAGAGAGAACUCGCCUCUGAAGCUGUAAAGCCUCUGCUGAUAAUCUUUACAGAACAUGGAGACUGUGAAAGAAAUUGGAACGCUAGAGAUGGCAAAAUAUAGGUCUGAUUAGUAAAGAGGGGGAAAGCUCCUGCAAACUACAGAAGUGGGGCUCUCCUAUCCAUCCUCAUUAAGUUCUCUGAUCAGACUACUUAAGGCUGACUUGUGAGCACGUGAAAAAUGGAGCAGAAUCCUCUAGAAGCCUGUGUGGGUUCUUUAAGAGCAAGCCACGACAAGGUAACUGUGUUCCCAGUUUCGUGGUGGGCUUGCUAGAUUAUUAUGUCAGGGAAUUGUGUUAGCUAUGGUAGAGACAAAGUACACCUCGGCUUGUCUGUCUGUCAAGGAAUCUCAUGAUAAAUUUGUGCAUGAGAUGAAGUAAUUUCAGCUGCAGACCAGCAUGCCUGUUAGGUGGAUUUAGAACUGUUUUUAUGGCCAUUCCCAAAGAUGCUAGUCAAUGUCCUUGCGGAAGUGCAUUUCUAGUUGAAGGCACAGUCAUUUUCGCAUUUGAUAUUUUUAUUAGUGUGUGGACAUAGAUGACUUAGUUAAUACCUGACACAUUUGGAGACGACAUGCAGAGAAUACUUUGGUUGACACACCAGGGCCCAAAGAACAGACUACAGUGCUAAGCUAAAUGUAAUGAUAUAAGAUGAAACAGGAAAAAAAGAAAAAAAAAAAGAUGAAACAGGGAAACGGUAGGGUGAGAUGCUCCCGUCCAAAUAGUCCCUGUGUGAGUGCAGGGCCAAGAGGCAAAAUCAUCGGCAGAGAGAAAAAAAAAAACAAGAAUCUCAGCUGACAGUAACACGGCACGUUGUUCAGCUGCUCUGAGCCCAUUGUGGCCUUGGGUUGAAUUGAGGGAAGCAUGAAAGAGAUGCUCUUGACACCUGGAAUGUUGCAUUUGGUGGUGAGUUCCCCUUUGUGAGAUGCCCGAGAGUGUGGAGACGAAGAUGAGCGAUGUGUCUCGGGGAGGGAGCUCUGAAUCCUGUCAUCUGAGAAACAUUUAAGGAACUGGAAGAGGUCAGUCUGAAGCUUCCUAAAACAGAGGAGCUUCUCGGGGUGAGAGCGCCUGUCAGUGGAGAUGACCGAGUGGAGAGAAGAAAGUCCCUUGGAAGAGCUGAAGGCGUGUGAUGGGUGUUUGGUCACAAAGGAAUCGUUAAUGUCCCUCCAGGCACUGGACCAGGAAGGAGAAAAAUGGGGCCCUUUCUGGCCAAGUGCUUUCACUGACUCCAGGUACAAGGAAGAAUACAAUAUGAUUCCUGUCCUCAGAGAUGGAAAAGUUCGCAUGCCUGUGGAUACUAGCCUUUACACAGACAACAUAAGGACUGAACAGCGUGGUAAUUAAUGAAGAUGAAAGAAGUAGAAAGAGUAACAAGUAAUAAGUGAGAAUAAGUAUUAAACUAAGUACUGACUUUGGGAGUACCCAGGCUCCAUUUUUAUGCCAAAUCUCUGGUGUUAAGGCAUAAGAGAUACUGUGUCCCCUAAAAGGGGAUAUGUUCUAAGACAUAGCACAAAACAGCAGAAAAAAUAACGUUCUGCUGCUGACUUGUGUUCAUUUUUCAACUUGUGGGCCACUAGGACUCUUGAAUCUUCUUUCCCCAUAUUUGCAUCUAAUUAGCAUUUGCAUAGUUGCUGUCUUUCCCUGAAAUGUUUCUUUCUCAACACUCAGUAUUGCCAUAACAAGAUGGGGAAAUAGAGGAAAUAAUUUUUUUAAAAUGUUCAAUUGAUUUCCUUUUUUAAAAAGACACCUUUUUUGAAUUAUUACAUAUCAUAAAAUUCAUCUGUUUUGUGUGUGCAACUCAAUGAAUUUUAGUAAAUUUACAGAGGUGUGCAGCCAUCACAACCAGUUUUAAAACAUUUCCAUUACCAGAGAGAAUAAUUUAGGGGCACAAUCCAAUGAGUGUGGGCAUAUUUAACCCACUUGAGCAUGCAUUUCUGAAACUGUUGUACUUAAGAAAAUCUGUCAGCAAAUUUUGAGUUGCUUCUUGAUAUACUUUUGCAAAACAAAGUAAAAUGCAGAAGAAGGAAGGAUCUCUGUGCCUGAAAUCCUGAGAAACCAUUAUCUAUUUUGCAGAUCACUUCAUUAAUAAACAGAUUAUUACAAAAAUAA